AUGCCAUGUUGAGGACAUUUUAUGAGAAUCUCCUUAAAUCUAUCCCAUGGCUCAUACAAUUUCUAGGACUCCAUCUGUCUAAAUUGAGUAAUCUCAGCCCUUAGUUG